ACUAUGCCUAGUCGUAAACUUUAAUCUACUCCCACAUCGCCCGGGAACUACGAGCUAAGCUUAAAACCCAAAGGACUUGACGGUACCCCAUAUCCCCCUAGAGGAGCCUGUCCUAUAAUCGAUAACCCCCGUUUAACCUCACCAUUUUUUGCCAGUCAGCCUGUAUACCUCCGUCGUCAGCUUACCACGUGAGCGUCAGUGAGCCUAAUGUUUCUCCAACUACACGUCAGGUCAAGGUGCAACAUAUAAAAUGGGAAGAGAUGGGCUACACUUUCUACCAUAGAAUAAACGAAAGACUAAAUGAAACCUAGUCAGAAGGCGGAUUUAGCAGUAAAAUGAAACUAGAGCGUUCACUUAAAUGCGGCACUGGGGUGUGUACACACCGCCCGUCACCCUCCUCAACUCUGCAUAAAAGUUUUUAACACCUUCCCAGAGACUCAGAAGAGGCAAGUCGUAACACCAC
rnacentral:rRNA from 1 species